AUGAACUGGAUGUGGCAUGGACUUGCCUAAUGGACUUGAUGCUUCUCGCAGGAAACAAAAGGGAAAGGGUGUUUACCAGUUUGUGGACAAAUAUGGUGCUAAUGUUGAUGGAUACAGGUACGACCGGUUUGGCUAUCUGGGCUGUAACUCUAGCUGGUCUUCUAGCUGGUGGUGCACUUCUUGUCUACAACACAAGUGCUCUUUCACAAUAGAUUCUGCUAAGUUCAUAUUUUAAGUUGUAACAAUAUUCCAUAUAGCUUUGAAAAUGAAGGAUAUACUCAUCAAUUACUUGUGGACAUAGUUCCUUCUGUUCUAUAAAUGUUGUGUGGAUUUUAAGAAA